ACACAAAAUUAAAGGUAGAAUUUUCUCUUUCUUAUUUCUCUUUCUCUCUUUCAGCUCACCUAAAACUAAAGGAAACCCCAACUACAGACCAGAUUUUUCAGAGUUAAUUAAUUCCUCCCUACCUAGUUAUCAAACUAAGAAGUAGUGUUCUUGAUUCAAAGGAAACUUAAGAGUAUUCCCAAGUGUCCCCCCUUCUAUACAACAUGGAGGUAUUGAUAAGCUCAUAAUGGUUGUAAAAAGGCCACCGUUAUUGUGUUUGUAUGAGUCAUGCUUUGUACAAUUUUCCGAAUUCAAUCAUAGGACAUGAUCGCUUACUUUUUAUGAUGUACAUAGACUUUCUAUAGGCAUUUGAUGAGACUAGACUUGUCUCUUGCUUCUGAUUUAAUAGCUCGUAAUGUAGCUGUCAAAUGAUGUAUAGGGCAUCGUGCAAUUAGAGAAUUAUGAGUUUAAACCAUUGAGCACGUAUCUUUUUCAAAGUAAUGUGUAGGAUAUUCUUAUGAAGAAUUAAAUGUGUGUACAGUGACUUAACCUCAAACAGUGCGCCAUGCUCCGCCUAUGCCUCCAUCUCUUCUCCGAGUCUAGUUCACUCACAAAGAGGAAGAAGCAAAACCAUCUAUCAUCUAGGUGGACCCUCCCAAAAAUGACUAAUAGUUCCCAAUUCUUGCAAAUUAACAGUCUCCAGAAGUAGUUUAAUAUGGCACGUCUUGUAGUGUAGGUCUCAUUGCCACUUGGAAAAUUAUCAUCCGAUCCAAUCUAAAAUCCAAUCCAAUUAAUUACUAAUUGAAUUGGAUUGACUUUUUAAUUGAAUAUUCAAUUACACACCUAAAUUUCAAUAUUAAUUUAAAUUAAGUAUUACCUUUUA